UCUCACAGACCAAACUGGUGUAUCAGCUGGCAGAACUGCACUGUCGCCAAUGAAGCUCUUCCAAUUCACAUCAGCAGAUGAUCUGGCUUUGUCCUUCCCUUUCAGGAAAAGCAUUCUCUAUGCUGGAAAUUGUGGAAGCGGCUGACAGCUGGUCUGUGAGCCAGAGGAGUGAGCUGACAGAAGAAAUUUAUAAGAUUCGUGUUUACCCAUGAAGGAAAAAAGAAGACAAGGUUGUUCACAUGGGAACCAAGAGAACAGGGAUAAACACCAGACACCUGCAGUU